rnacentral:rRNA from 1 species
GACGGAGGGGGCGAGCGCUGUUCGGAAUCACUGGGCGUAAAGAGCGUGUAGGCGGUGCGGAAAGUCCGGUGUGAAAGUCCUCGGCUUAACCGGGGAAGGGCACUGGAGACUUCUGCGCUGGAGUGCGGGAGAGGGGAGUGGAAUUCCCAGUGUAGCGGUGAAAUGCGUAGAUAUUGGGAAGAACACCAGUGGCGAAGGCGGCUCCCUGGACCGCAACUGACGCUGAGACGCGAAAGCUGGGGGAGCAAACGGGAUUAGAAA